rnacentral:rRNA from 1 species
UACUGCAGCCAUAUCACCCUGCAACUCACAACUGGCAGCCCACUGAAGCUCAGCAGGUGUGAGCCUGGCCAGUACCUGGAUGGGAGACCUCCUGGGAGAAACAAGGGUGCUGUUGGAA